rnacentral:rRNA from 1 species
AACGAACGCUGGCGGCAUGCCUAACACAUGCAAGUCGAACGAGACCUUCGGGUCUAGUGGCGCACGGGUGCGUAACGCGUGGGAACCUGCCAUUAGGUUCGGAAUAACUCCCCGAAAGGGGUGCUAAUACCGGAUAAUGACUUCGGACCAAAGAUUUAUCGCCGUUGGAUGGGCCCGCGUUGGAUUAGCUAGUUGCUAGGGUAAAAGCCUACCAAGGCGACGAUCCAUAGCUGGUCUGAGAGGAUGAUCAGCCACACUGGGACUGAGACACGGCCCAGACUCCUACGGGAGGCAGCAGUGGGGACUAUUGGCCUAUGGGCGAAGGCCUGAUCCAGCCAUGCCGCGUGAGUGAUGAAGGCCUGAGGGUUGGAAAGCUCUUUUACCCGGGAUGCUAAUGACAGUACCUGCAGAAUAAGCGCCGGCUAACUCCGUG